rnacentral:rRNA from 1 species
CCUACGGGUGGCAGCAGUCGAGAAUCAUUCACAAUGGGGGAAACCCUGAUGGUGCGACGCCGCGUGGGGGAAUGAAGGUCUUCGGAUUGUAAACCCCUGUCAUGGGGGAGCAAAUUAAAAAGAUAGUACCACAAGAGGAAGAGACGGCUAACUCUGUGCCAGCAGCCGCGGUAAGACAGAGGUCUCAAGCGUUGUACGGAAUCACUGGGCGUAAGGGGUGCGUAGGCUGUUUUGUAAGUAGGAUGUGAAAGGCGCGGGCUCAACCCGCGGACGGCACAUGAUACUGCUAGACUAGAGUGGUGGAGUGGGAACCGGAAUUCUCGGUGUAGCAGUGAAAUGCGUAGAUAUCGGGAGGAACACUCGUGGCGAAGGCGGGUUCCUGGACAUUAACUGACGCUGAGGCACGAAGGCCAGGGGAGCGAAAGGGAUUAGAUACCCCAGUAGUC